rnacentral:tRNA from 1 species
GGCCUUGGCUCAGUGGUAGAACAUUUGCUUAGCAUUCAGAAGGUCUCAGGUUCAAUCCCUGGAAUUGCCA